rnacentral:lncRNA from 1 species
GGAUACUGAGCGAAGGACUGUAUGUUGCAGAUGGCCUGCACCAGGUAGCUUCCCUGGGAGCAGUCAGAAGUCCAAAGCUCUGAUGCGACAUCUCUGGAGACCUGCAGACAGGAAGGGGUCUCAUGUAAGAAGAGAGAUCCACAGACAACACCAGGCAACCUCUGUGUGGUCAAGAUUCCUUGUAAUUUCACCAUGCUUACAUACAUGCGUGGAGGCCCUAAGCCACCAUGCACAGCCAGAGCAAAUCCACAGAUUCAGAAAUCCCUGUUCAUGAAGACUAACCAGGAGUAUUUUUGCAUUAAAGAGGUCUGCACCCCAUCCCCACCAUGGGAAAAUUCUGAAGAGAGCUGAAGAAUAGUGAAAGGAGAUAAAAGGAAAGGAGGUGUGAAAGCAAGAGUGGAUGGAUGGAUUGAUGGAUGACAGUACAUAUCUGCACUGGCAGAUCAGCAGAUGGGAUGCAUUUGGGGACAGGCAGAUGCAGAAGUAUACAGAGGCAAGAAUUUUUGUUAAGUAGAUGGAUAGAUGGACAAACAAGUGGAUGGAAGAAUGGAUGGGUGGAUGAAUGGAUGGGUGGAUGGAUGACUUAGAAGGUGGAGGGAUCCAUUUUUGAAGAGAUGAGUGGGUACCCAUCAUAAACAGUAGAGUGUUAAUAUGGCUGCACAAGAGAUUGCACCUGUGAAGUAUAUUCUUGAAGUAACACGCAAGGGCAGACUGAAAGGCCAGGCAACGUGGAGGAACAUAGCAGAGAGAGAAAUGAAGCCAGGGUCCAUGGUGGCAGAGCAAAUAAAUCCCAGAAAGGCAC